rnacentral:rRNA from 1 species
GACGAACGCUGGCGGCGUGGAUUAGGCAUGCAAGUCGAACGGUAUCAUCCUUUCGGGGGUGAGAGAGUGGCGAACUGGUGAGUAACACGUAGGUUAUCUACCCUCAAGACGGGGACAACCCAGGGAAACUUGGGCUAAUACCGGAUGUGAGCAACUUUUAGUUGUUUGAAAGGUGGCGUAAGCUGUCGCUUGGGGAUGAGCCUGCGUCCUAUUAGUUAGUUGGUGAGGUAACGGCUCACCUAGGCAAUGAUAGGUAAGCGGCCUUAACGGGUGGUCGCCCACACUGGGAUUGAGAUACGGCCCAGACUCCUACGGGAGGCAGCAGUCGAGAAUAGUCUACAAUGGUCGGAAGACUGAUAGUGCGACGCCGCGUGAACGAUGAAUCCCUUCGGGGUGUAAAGUUCUUUUAUAUGUGAGCAGUGCUUCUUAUAUUAACAGUAUGGGGAGAGAGAUAUUAGCAUAUGAAUAAGCAACGGCUAACUCCGUGCCAGCAGCCGCGGUAAUA